GAAGAGUCUGUGGUCCUGUGUUUGUUAAAUGUAUGCAAAUUAACUGCCCAGCUGACCUAUGCCUGGUAUUAUGCAAGGGGCUUCACAUCAAUUACCUUGUUUGGUCUUUACCACAGCCUCAUGAGCUUGGAAUGACUCUUAUUAGGGAAAGUGGACCCAAGAAAGUCAAGUUCCUUGCCCGAGGUCACACAGCUGGUAAAAGGCAGAGCGAAGGUUGAAACUCAGGAUGGUCUGUCUCCAGGACCCGGGCUCUCCACCACUCAGCUCUGCCUAUUCCAGGGCUGCAACCUCUCUACGGAAGUGAAGCGUCUACUGGAUCACUUUUGACCAACAGUGCAUCAGCCGGCAGAGGGAUGAGGGGUGGGCCAAGAAGGGCCACUUCCCCUCAGGCUGGAGAGAUUCCUCUGACUAAUUUACCGGGUGACUCCGAUGGCAAACUGCAGCCCUGUUCCCUCCAGCUGAGACUCCGCUGUCUUACUCAUGAUUGGGUCCCCUGGGCAGAGCCAGGGCCUGGCAGAGAGCAGAUGUCCAGUAAAUACCUCUUGGCCCUAAGAAUGACUGGGAACACUCACGCAGUGGGACACCUUCCUGUGCGUUACCUCAUCUCAUCCUCACAGCGGCCCAGAGAGCGACCGCAGGUGCACACAGAUCUGAGGCCCUGA
rnacentral:lncRNA from 1 species